rnacentral:rRNA from 1 species
AACGAACGCUGGCGGCAUGCCUAACACAUGCAAGUCGAACGAGACCUUCUGGUCUAGUGGCGCACGGGUGCGUAACGCGUGGGAACCUGCCCUUAGGUUCGGCAUAACUCCCCGACAGGGGUGCUAAUACCGGAUAAUGUCUUCGGACCAAAGAUUUAUCGCCUUUGGAUGGGCCCGCGUUGGAUUAGCUAGUUGGUAGGGUAAAAGCCUACCAAGGCGACGAUCCAUAGCUGGUCUGAGAGGAUGAUCAGCCACACUGGGACUGAGACACGGCCCAGACUCCUACGGGAGGCAGCAGUGGGGAAUAUUGGACAAUGGGCGAAAGCCUGAUCCAGCAAUGCCGCGUGAGUGAUGAAGGCCUUAGGGUUGUAAAGCUCUUUUACCCGGGAUGAUAAUGACAGUACCGGGAGAAUAAGCCCCGGCUAACUCCGUG